CUCGUUGUUUAUAUCUGGAUCUGGUAAGUUGAGCAAGAUUUCCUUUCAGGAUGUAAUCAUGAUAAUAAUACUACUAAUGAUAAUGGAAGAUAAUAGAUUUAUGUGAACUUCUCUCGAUGUUAGAGUAAUUAUUUCGAAGCGGGAACCUGACAACAGUUUAGAGUAACACAUUUAUGUCGUAUUGCCAUUCUUUCAAUGCCUCAAUGUACUCUGACCCCUAAAAACAUUUAAUAGAUGACAACGUUGAAUUAGUGUAUCAUCUAACUAUUCUCUUUAUCUUGAUGUUUCUUUUCCUAUUUCAGAAUAUCACCUUAUGUUGACACACAAGAAACCUCUUCAUUCAGAUGUGCCUUUCAUAUUUUGACGUCGUUUCACCAACUAAAGCAAGAUGACGUGAUUUAUCAGCAGCAUUCAUCAAUACAUCAAAAUUUAUAUGAAUACAAUAUUCUUCAUGUCUUCACUGUUUGGAAUGUAGAGGAAGUGAUUGCCUUACAGGUUAAUUAAGGUGGGAUAACUUUACAAACAAGUUGACGAUUUUCUAUCAGCUCAUUUAGAUAUUAUGAUCACAGAUGGAAGAAAGAUAGCUGCAAAUUCUUUUCUAGAUAGAGUGGCAGAACUGAAAACAAAGAUAUUUAUAGAGAUGAAGGAAACAUUAUUAUUGUGAUAUGUAUAAUAAAUUAUUCUUUCACAAUGAAUAAAUUAACUGAAGCAAAAAGCGAUGAUACAAGAGUGAAACAAUAUUUCUGUGACAUUUGUGGUAAAUUAUUCCAUUCUAGUAGUCACUUGACUAGUCACAGACGUAUCCAUACUGGAGAAAAGCCAUAUCAUUGUGAUAUCUGUGGUAAAUCAUUCUCACAUAGUAGUGGCUUGACUAUGCACAAACGAACACAUACAGGGGAAAAGCCAUAUUGUUGUGAAAUCUGUGGUAAAUCAUUCUGUGCAAGUAGUGACUUGACUAAGCAUAAUCGUACACAUACAGGAGAAAAGCCAUUUAAUUGUGAUAUCUGUGGUAAAUCGUUCUCUGAAAGGGGGUCCUUGAAUCACCACAAACAUGUUCAUACAGGAGAAAGGCCAUAUUGUUGUGAAAUCUGUGGUAAAUCAUUCUGUCAAAUGAGUGACUUGACUAAGCACAAUCGUACCCAUACAGGAGAAAGGCCAUAUCAUUGUGAUAUCUGUGGUGUAUCAUUCUGUGACAGGAGUAAUUUGACUCGGCAUAAAUAUACACAUACAGGAGAAGAGCCAUGUCAAUGUGAUAUUUGUGGUAAAUCAAUCUGUCGAAGCAUUGACAUGACUAGACACAAACGUACUCAUACAGGGGAAAAGCCAUAUCAUUGUGAUAUCUGUGGUAAAUCAUUCCCUGAAAGAAAUAACUUGACUAUGCACAAAUAUACACAUACAGGAGAAAAGCCAUAUCAUUGUGAUAUCUGUGGUAAAUCAUUCUCUCAAAGAAAUAACUUGCCUACGCACAAACGUACACAUACCGGAGAAAAGCCAUAUCAUUGUGAUAUCUGUGGUAAAUCAUUCUCUGUAAGGAGUAAUUUCACUACACACACACGUACACAUACAGGAGAAAAGCCAUAUCAUUGUGAAAUCUGUGGUAAAUCAUUCUCUGUAAGGUGUAACUUGACUACACACAGAUGUACACUUACAGGAGAAAAGCCAAAUCAUUGGAAGUUUAAAGAAUGUUAACCCUUCUGAUACCAACCCAGCUGGCACCCCCUUUGAAUCUGCUGUAAAAAUUUCAUGUUUUCUUAAGUUUUGAAUUUAAAUUUUCCACUAUACCUUAGUCACAGUUUAUGAUCCUAAAACUAGGUUGAUAGUAAUCGCCAAUUUAUUUUAUGAAGCUGUUCUUUGUAUUUAUAAUGAAUUAAAAGACGAAAAGAGCAUCUCUACAGAAUUAUAGUAACAAAUGGGUUGAAGGAAAUGAAUGUAUUUAUUCUGAAACAAGACAUAUUUUGAGAACAAUUCUAUCAGAACGUAUAUAAACAAUAUCAGUAAAAGAAAUCUUGAAAUCAAUCACAGUUUAAUUUUGUAGAACUUCCAAAUAUACAAUGUUUUCAGUGUGUCCUUUAAUUGGGAUAGAAAUAAAAAGAGUUUCAGGACUUCCAACUUGCAAACAUCCUACAUAUAAUUGCCCAUGAAAGAAGCAAGGUUAAGUCCAAGAACCUUGAGAGAUUGUCUUUGAGAUUUGUUUAUGAGCAUAGCAAAACUUGGUUUCACUGGGAACUGGAGCCAUUUAAAUUGAUAGGGGAGAUAAGAUGGUACUAAUUACAUCCGUGGAAUGAAGACAUCCUCACCUUUAUAUUUCCCUGUGAUAAUUGUUGCCUCUAAGACAUAGGGUUCCAUUGCUUUCACUACCAUUUGUCCUAUGAAGAAAGGCUGAAGACGCUCGACCUUUAUUCUCUAGAAAAACGAUGACGCCGUGGUUUUCUCAUUCUUGCUCACAACAUCAUAAGCAGAAAGUGUAACAUCUCAAAAGAGCUGUUCUUCACUCCUGCUCCAGAGCGUGGGCUGUGGGGUCACUCCAAUAAGCUCUAUCUGUGACGAUUUCAUCUCAAUCGAAGGAGAGUGGCGUUGUCCCUCCGUGUUGCGGAUCUGUGGAAUAAGCUGCCGGACAAGAUAGUGAAGAUGCCGACGACCGCUCGGUUCAAAGUCUCUCUUGACCAGAAAUGGCCUGAACUCUUUGCAUGAACACCC
rnacentral:lncRNA from 1 species